AUCCAGCUGACGAGUCCCAAAUACGACGAAACGCGCGCCAAAUUGGAU
rnacentral:hammerhead_ribozyme from 1 species